rnacentral:rRNA from 1 species
AUUGAACGCUGGCGGCAUGCCUUACACAUGCAAGUCGUACGGUAACAGGUCUUCGGAUGCUGACGAGUGGCGAACGGGUGAGUAAUACAUCGGAACGUGCCCGAGAGUGGGGGAUAACGAAGCGAAAGCUUUGCUAAUACCGCAUACGAUCUCAGGAUGAAAGCAGGGGACCGCAAGGCCUUGCGCUCACGGAGCGGCCGAUGGCAGAUUAGGUAGUUGGUGGGAUAAAAGCUUACCAAGCCGACGAUCUGUAGCUGGUCUGAGAGGACGACCAGCCACACUGGGACUGAGACACGGCCCAGACUCCUACGGGAGGCAGCAGUGGGGAAUUUUGGACAAUGGGCGCAAGCCUGAUCCAGCCAUGCCGCGUGCAGGAUGAAGGCCUUCGGGUUGUAAACUGCUUUUGUACGGAACGAAAAGACUCUGGUUAAUACCUGGGGUCCAUGACGGUACCGUAAGAAUAAGCACCGGCUAACUACGUGCCAGCCGCCGCCGGUAAAAC